CUUAUCAAUCAUAUAAGGUUGUGAUAUAAUUCAUCUCCAUCAAAAACCCUAGCUUAUUCUGUAUAAAAUUUCGGUGGAUUAAAUCAUAAUCAAAUAUGAUUAAAUAGCCGAUUGUCCCUUUAAUUGGCGGUGAGGCCUAGAUGGAUGUCUUAUUUUAUUUGGUCAAUUCCAUUAGGCCAAACAUAAAACAAAAAAGAAUCUAAAAAUUACUCUCAUGGUUGGAAUUUUUUCUCAAAAUACAUUUAUCAAAGAGAAUCUCUAAUAAUUUACUACAAAAACCAUUUUGAUCCAUUCAAGCCGCUAAUCGGGGCAAACCUUUUUGUUGAAAUCGUCUUAUUCAUAAGACUUUCAUGGUAAUCACUAAUCAAUGUGAUUUCCUCAAUCCUAAGUGGAUCAUUUUGAUUCUUAGAAUGAAUUGAUUAAGGAUCACAAAUUACCUUAUUUUGAGAAAAAAAAUAAAACGCAAUUUAAUUAUCCCUCAUAUCCAAGUGGAAUUGGCCACUUAAACUGAGACAUUUUUUCAAACUAUGAUGGUUUUCAUCCGAGAGUGGAUUCAAAUCCCAUGAUGAUCGGUUAAAAUGUAACAACACAAAUCUACUUCUUAUUUUCGCCCGCAACACGUGCGUAUGAGACUAGGACUCCAUUGAUGUAAAUCUUUGAGCGCAGAAGAAAGAGGAAGAAAAGUGGACAAAAAGUAAGUACCAUUGAAGAUAAAAUGAUACCAUUGUUAUUUUUUUGUUAGUAUCUUCUGUUUUUUAACCGUUUUUUUCAUUCUUGAUACCAAUUAAUUGUAUUACAAUACCAUAUGGUAUGAUUUUAUUGGAUACCGUUGAAAAUAAAAUGAUUUUUUUGGUA